rnacentral:rRNA from 1 species
CGGGAUUGCCUUAGUAACGGCGAGUGAAGCGGCAAAAGCUCAAAUUUGAAAUCUGGUACCUUCGGUGCCCGAGUUGUAAUUUGGAGAGGGCAACUUUGGGGCCGUUCCUUGUCUAUGUUCCUUGGAACAGGACGUCAUAGAGGGUGAGAAUCCCGUGUGGCGAGGAGUGCGGUUCUUUGUAAAGUGCCUUCGAAGAGUCGAGUUGUUUGGGAAUGCAGCUCUAAGUGGGUGGUAAAUUCCAUCUAAAGCUAAAUAUUGGCGAGAGACCGAUAGCGAACAAGUACAGUGAUGGAAAGAUGAAAAGAACUUUGAAAAGAGAGUGAAAAAGUACGUGAAAUUGUUGAAAGGGAAGGGCAUUUGAUCAGACAUGGUGUUUUGUGCCCUCUGCUCCUUGUGGGUAGGGGAAUCUCGCAUUUCACUGGGCCAGCAUCAGUUUUGGUGGCAGGAUAAAUCCAUAGGAAUGUAGCUUGCCUCGGUAAGUAUUAUAGCCUGUGGGAAUA